AUGCUUGCAUACGGAGUGCCCAGUGAUCUCAUUGAUGAGUAUGUCCGUAUGAGCGAGUCUACAUGUCUAGACUCCAUGUACAAGUUCUGCAGGGCUGUGAUUGCUGUGUUUGGCCCUGAGUACUUGAGAGAGCCGACUGCUAAAGAUACAGCCCGCUUGUUGGCGAUGAAUGCCAGCAGAGGAUUCCCAGGGAUGCUUGGCAGCAUAGACUGCAUGCACUGGGAGUGGAAGAACUGCCCUUCUGCUUGGCAAGGGCAGUAUAAGGGCCAUGUCAGGGCUUGCACUGUCAUACUUGAGGCCGUGGCCUCACAAGAUCUUUGGAUCUAG
rnacentral:rRNA from 1 species